rnacentral:lncRNA from 1 species
UUGUGUUCAGGCAUUUGGCAAUUGAUUGAUGUGUAUGUGACUGGUGUUAAGUGAUAUGUGGUAUUAAGAGGAAGAGGUGUAGAAUACAGGACUGGUGUUUUGUUUUUGUGUUUGGUGUUAAGGUGUAGAAUGUAGGAUUAAUGUUUGGGUGUUGGGUGUUAUGGUGGUAUAUGGCAUGAGUUGAAUAUAGUGGUCACUGUUGAUAAGUGAAGGUGUAGAAUGUAGGAUUUUUUUUUGGUGCUGAGUUUUACGAUGGUUAGACUUGAUAGUGGUGUAUGGUAGUCAUUUUUAAUUGUAGAAGAAGUAGAUGCAGAACUAGCAUUUUUUUGUGUUGAUUGAUUUUUUUUUUAUUGGUGUAUGGUGUUGAAUAAAAGCUGUAGUAGCAUACAGGAUUGAUGUAUUGAUGUAGAAUGGUUUGUGAAAUGAUUGGUCUGGUUUGCUUGUAGUGUGUCAUAUGUAUGAAGAAUACAGUGUAAUCAAGUUUUUUCUAUUUGUGCAUUGUGCAUAUUUGUGUAUUAUAAAAUGUUUGGAUCAGAGUAUGCGUAAUUGUAAUAGAUGCAUGCUCUGAUUGCAAACAUUUUAGAGUGCACUAAUAUAGAUUAUAAAGACACUCUCAGCCAAUUUCUUCUUAUGAUUCAGCAGCAUAAAUGAAAUCUAUUUUAAACAAAUUAAAGUCAUAUCUAUUUCUUUAUUUUUUUAAUGUAACUUUCUUCAAACUGAUUCCUUUUCAUUCAAUUCAUAAUAUAAAAUCAACUUGGUUUGAUGGACAAUUUAUGCUCGCCCUUUUCAUGUAAAACAUGCUAAAUUAUUUAUUACAUAAUUGUGAAAUUGUGUAUUUUAAUGAGUAACUUUUGUUGUUUCUUUCCAGACUCGAGACCCUCAUCGAGCCAAUCACUGCAGAGCAAGUGGAGAUGAGAACGCUUUACCCCAGAACGCAAGAUCCAACUCAGAUCGUUUGAGUGACGGGAGCUCUCACUCACAAUCUGGGAGCGGCUAUAUGUGUGACAGUGAAAGCGAUCAGGACACCCAUGUAAGUACAACAGUAUAUGAUCUGCUUAGAGCAAGGAGGACAUUAACUCAUGUAUUGUCGUAUUAUGUGGAGGUAAAUCCUUUCUGGCUCUCAACUGACGAGGUGUUCGUUCUGUGAUUGUUUCUUUAGAUGUUAUUGUUUGUGUAGGCAAACAAGUCUGUGUCUGUGUUUGUGCUCAUGAUCAAUUUCCAGAAAAUCAUCUUCUCUGUUCAUUUUCUGUUCAGGUUGAUGCUUCUUAGUGUGUGGAUGAGUUCUUUCUUUGUUUUGUCUUCAAUAGUGUUUGCGUGAGUCUAUGUCUGAUAUCUGGAUGGGAAAUGUGUCCUUGUGUGUUUUAAUUUGUGUUAUAUCUGCUUCAUGAAAUGUAGACUUGUCAGGAACCCAGGGAAGUGUAUGCCUCGCAAGUAGUACUAGCCAAUCCAUGGGCUUGAAUUUUAUAAUUAUUGUAUUUUUCUUCUUAAUUCUGUUACGUCUUCUCACUGAUAACCCCAGUCAAGGCAGGGUAUCAAACAAGUGCAUUCCAGAU